AUACGGAGGAUGCGAGCGUUAUCCGGAUUUAUUGGGUUUAAAGGGAGCGUAGAUGGGAGCUUAAGCCAGUUGUGAAAAGCGCGGGCCCAACCCGCGUCGUGCAAUUGGAACUGUGUUCCUUGAGUGGGUUCGGGGCAGGUGGAAUUCGUGGUGUAGCGGUGAAAUGCUUAGAUAUCACGAAGAACUCCGACAGCGUAGGCAUCAUGCCAGGCCCUUACUGACAUUGAAGCUCGAAGGUGCGGGUAUCAAACAGGAUUAGAUACCCUGGUAGUCCGCACGGUAAACGAUGGAUGCCCGCUGUCGGCGACAGACGGUCGGCGGCCAAGCGAAAGCGUUAAGCAUCCCACCUGGGGAGUACGCCGGCAACAGUGAAACUCAAAUGAAUUGGCGGGG
rnacentral:rRNA from 1 species